GGGCACUUGGCACAGUGGUAGCGCGCCUGCUUUGCAUCUUAAAUAGGCGCUUGCAUGAGGUCGAGGGUUCAAUCCCCUCAGUGUCCA